UACGUAGGGGGCAAGCGUUGUCCGGAAUCAUUGGGCGUAAAGCGCGUGUAGGCGGCUUGGUAAGUCUGCUCUGAAGCCCGGGGCUCAACCCCGGGAGGCGGGUGGAUACUGUCAAGCUCGGAGUCCGGAAGAGGAGUGUGGAAUUCCUGGUGUAGCGGUGAAAUGCGCAGAUAAUCAGGAGGAACACCAAUGGCGAAGGCAGCACUCUGGGACGUGACUGACGCUGAGACGCGAAAGC
rnacentral:rRNA from 1 species